GAGCAUGCAGAUUAGAAAUGGCUGUCCGGCGCGGGAAUGGCGGAACAAUUAAGGACAUAGAACUUGUCCUUUCAAAGGUAGAGGACGAAAAGGUCUGCACAGGAGUCCGAUGACAGCACUGUCGACGACGCAAAAGGAAUCAGACAAGGAGGGUGGUUCAGGGCGCUCACCGUGCGUUUAAUGGAGAUGGAGCGAGGGCGGCUGCGGCCAGGUUGGGCCAACGGGUAUCGCUUCUCGGCCUUUUGGCUAAGAUCAAGUGUAGUAUCUGUUCUUAUCAGUUUAAUAUCUGAUACGUCCUCUAUCCGAGGACAAUAUAUUAAAUGGAUUUUUGGAGCAGGGAGUUGGAAUAGGAGCUUGCUCCGUCCACUCCACGCAUCGACCUGGUAUUGCAGUACUUCCAGGAACGGUGCACCCCCUCGGGGGGAAAUAAGCGUGGUGCGACAAAAACAGACGGUGUGUGAUAAACCUGGAGUUUCGGAAUAGCGAGACGGGAAAGCUCAGCUUGCCGGCUCUUACUUGUCUUUCGUGAGUUUUCAUCGCCGUGCACUUGGGCCCAGUGUGGGGUCCGUUCAUUUUGCCGCGUCUGUUCCGUGUUGGUUUUAGAGCUGAAAGUUUUGUGCUCGCUACGUUAUACAGCUGUGUUGUUUUUUUUAUUGUGGAAACGAGAGAAGGGAGACUCUUUGCUGGGAGGCUUCCGAAGGGAGGAACGCGGCCUUACAUAAGCGUUCGCAGCGACGUGUUUCUAUUGCCAGCGGUCCCGUAAGGAGUCUGCUCGCUUCUACAGACGUGCGUUUCCAUUUUUGGUCCAAGACUGUGUGUAGUAAGACCCCGAAGUGUGGCCGCAGAAGCUUGCUUUCUCUCUCUCUCUCGCGCGCGCGCGCGCGCGCGCGCGCUCAGCUGAGGCCCUUAGCCCGCAGACCCUCCAGCGGGGCUCAGGGGCACAAAAGUGGCUCUACGUGCAGCACGUGCACCUGGAAGCAACUCAAAGGAUUUACAGGUAAUGUCCAAAAGCAAGCAGUAGUUGGUAUACAUUUAGUGAGGGAGAAAGCGUUUUCUUCUCCCACUGCUGAGAUGGCGGAAGCUAGUCGAAUUCCUCAGUAUGAAAAGGAAGGUAUUAAUUAGUGAAUGAGGGUCCUGGGGAAAAUGAAAGGGAGCACUUCCAAAAUGCUGACCUGGAACAAGGAUUCCAAGGAGGAGGUUUAAAUGCUCGUGUGAUUACGGGAAGUGCGCGUGUUCCUGAGAGAAUUAUUGUAGCAGGAAGUAAGACAGUCCAUUUUCAAGGCCAACCGAUCUUGACCUUAUACAGUCAACUCCCUUCAAAACCUCUGGCACUAAAAAAUACCACCUCGUGUGCUUUCGCUAAGUGAAAGACAGCUAGAUUUUCUGGGUUUAGAAAGACUCCAACCCCUCAAAAUGAGGAAAUGGGUGCAGCUGACAGGCUAAAAAGAGCGCGCUGGCUGUUCACCAAAAUGGUAACAGCCGGUCAGAACGGACUCCAUGUAUGACAUUUCCAAUAGAGAUACAACAUGGAAGGAACUUCAGGUGACAGAACAGAGAACGUGCUAAAGGAGAAAGGGCCAUGUAUGUAUUCAAUCACUGUAGCAUUCUGGCUGCUUGAUAGCUCUGGUUUCUCCGCUGGAAGUAACCUCAACGCUCAAAAAUACUAUCUCAACAGCUGAAAAUACAAAGAAUGUGCGAACUUCUUUGUUUCUGUCUUUGCAAUGUAUGCCGUUUCACAGUCCACGCCCUGAAAAUGUAUUUCUCAAAAGAGGGGGAAAGGGCUUGUAUGUGCAGAACUAAA
ensembl:lncRNA